UACGAAGGGGGCUAGCGUUGCUCGGAAUCACUGGGCGUAAAGGGUGCGUAGGCGGGUCUUUAAGUCAGGGGUGAAAUCCUGGAGCUCAACUCCAGAACUGCCUUUGAUACUGAGGAUCUUGAGUACGGGAGAGGUGAGUGGAACUGCGAGUGUAGAGGUGAAAUUCGUAGAUAUUCGCAAGAACACCAGUGGCGAAGGCGGCAUCCUGGACCGGUAUUGACGCUGAGGCGCGAAAGCCAGGGGAGCAAACGGG
rnacentral:rRNA from 1 species